UACGUAGGGUGCGAGCGUUGUCCGGAUUUACUGGGCGUAAAGGGCGUGCAGGCGGUCUGUUAAGUGCAGGGUGAAAGCUCCCGGCUCAACUGGGAGAGGUCCUUGCAUACUGGCGGACUUGAGGGGGGUAGAGGAAAGUGGAAUUCCCGGUGUAGUGGUGAUAUGCGUAGAUAUCGGGAGGAACACCUGUGGCGAAGGCGGCCCCCUGGGCCGGCCCUGACACUGAGACGCGAAGGCGUGGGGAGCGAACGGG
rnacentral:rRNA from 1 species